rnacentral:rRNA from 1 species
AACGAACGCUGGCGGCAGGCUUAACACAUGCAAGUCGAACGCCCCGCAAGGGGAGUGGCAGACGGGUGAGUAACGCGUGGGAAUCUACCCAGUUCUACGGAACAACAGGUGGAAACGACUGCUAAUACCGUAUACGCCCUAAGGGGGAAAGAUUUAUCGGAAUUGGAUGAGCCCGCGUUGGAUUAGCUAGUUGGUGGGGUAAUGGCCUACCAAGGCGACGAUCAAUAGCUGGUCUGAGAGGAUGAUCAGCCACACUGGGACUGCGACACGGCCCAGACUCCUACGGGAGGCAGCAGUGGGGAAUAUUGGACAAUGGGCGCAAGCCUGAUCCAGCCAUGCCGCGUGAGUGAUGAAGGCCUUAGGGUUGUAAAGCUCUUUCAGUAGGGAAGAUAAUGACGGUACCUACAGAAGAAGCCCCGGCUAACUUCGUGCCAGCAGCCGCAGUAAAAC